GCCUGCAAGUAUAGAGAAAGCUCUCAACACUGUGAUCUUUAAUCAACCCUCAAAUUCAUAAUUGCCUUGCCUAAAGAACAUCCAUCAAAAUUUAGCCUCACAAAGCCUACUUGAGGUGGCAUCCAUUCACUAGGUAUCUCCUUGGUUAGUCUCAUUGUUCUGCAAACUAGGUUUUGUGGAAAUUUGGUUUUAAUGACCAGAUUUGGUUGACCUACUAUCCUAUUCAAUUAGAAGAUAUUUAGUUUUAAUUUGGUAAAUAUAUGGCCUCAAAUAAGGUGGGAUCUGACUAUAUUUUUUAUUUUCUAGAUUUAGCCAUGUAAAUCCCUAAUUUUAAUGGAUAUUCUCAUAACUGUUAUAGCUAUUACAGUUGUAUUGAUUUUAAGGGAUCUUCACACAGCUGUUAUAGCUGUGUAUUCUAUAUAUCCCUCUCUUGUAUUUGACGUAAGGUAUCAAUGAAAAUUUUAGAGUUUUCCCCUCUAAAUUCUUGAUGGUAUCAGUGCCAAAACCAAAACUGAUUAGAGUUUUCCCCUCUAAAUUCUUGAUGGUAUCGGUGCCAAAACCAAAACUGACCAUAUUCAAAUGGUAAAAUACAGUAUGGCUACUGAAAAGAUGGGUCAGCCUCGAAGGUAUCAUCCGGGUCAGAAAAUAUUGUUCCCUCU
rnacentral:lncRNA from 1 species